rnacentral:rRNA from 1 species
UACGUAGGGUGCAAGCGUUGCUCGGAAUCAUUGGGCGUAAAGCGCACGUAGGCGGACCGCUAAGUCGGAUGUGAAAGCCCGCGGCUUAACCGAGGAAGUGCAUUCGAAACUGACAGUCUUGAGUAUGGAAGAGGGUCGCGGAAUUCCCGGUGUAGAGGUGAAAUUCGUAGAUAUCGGGAGGAACACCAGUGGCGAAGGCGGCGACCUGGGCCAAUACUGACGCUGAGGUGCGAAAGCGUGGGGAGCAAACAGG